AGACCGCUGAUCAUGCUUAGAGGGAGGGAAAGAAAGAGGUGUGACACCCAGUUGGUAACAAAUCUACGCUUUGCUGCCCUUCGUGGGCUGUUUGUCAGAGGUUCUGUUGGAAAGAGAUUUUAAUACAUGCGAUGGAACAAAAAUCCAGUCUUUCUAUGCAGAAACUAAAAAAAUAAUUCUAAAAUUCAGCUGAAGCUUAUCUUCCAAGUAUUUGUAGUACAAUAUUUCUUCGUGUUACUCUUCCUACACUGCAUGGCUAAUGUCCAAAGAGACACACAGAGAGAAC